GAGCGAAAAUUACAGUAGCGAAGGUCAUGAUCUCACACUGCCAAGAAAAGCCUCUAGCCAGGAAGCAGGUGCCCGUACCGCAAACCGACACAGGUGGGCGAGAAGAGAAUUCUAAGGCGCGCGGAAGAACUCUCGUUAAGGAACUCGGCAAAAUGACCCCGUAACUUCGGGAGAAGGGGUGCCCCGGUAGUGUGAAUAGCACGAGGGGGCCGCAGUGAAAAGGCCCAAGCGACUGUUUAGCAAAAACACAGGUCUGUGCGAAGCCGCAAGGCGAAGUAUACGGGCUGACGCCUGCCCGGUGCUGGAAGGUUAAGGGGAGUGGUUAGCGCAAGCGAAGCUAUGAACCGAAGCCCCAGUAAACGGCGGCCGUAACUAUAACGGUCCUAAGGUAGCGAAAUUCCUUGUCAGGUAAAUUCUGACCCGCACGAAUGGCGUAACGAUUUGGGCGCUGUCUCAACGAGAGAUCCGGUGAAAUUUUAAUACCUGUGAAGAUGCAGGUUACCCGCGACAAGACGGAAAGACCCCAUGGAGCUUUACUGCAGCUUGAUAUUGAACUGGGGUGCGAUUUGUACAGGAUAGGUGGGAGCCUUUGAAGAGGGAGCGCAAGCUUCCUUGGAGGCGCCGUUGGGAUACCACCCUGAUCGCAUCUGAGUUCUAACCUGGUACCGUGAUCCGGUACAGGGACCGUGUCAGGUGGGCAGUUUGACUGGGGCGGUCGCCUCCUAAAAUGUAACGGAGGCGCCCUAAGGUUCCCUCAGAAUGGUUGGAAAUCAUUCGAAGAGUGUAAAGGCAUAAGGGAGCUUGACUGCGAGACCUACAAGUCGAGCAGGGACGAAAGUCGGGCUUAGUGAUCCGGUGGUACCGCAUGGAAGGGCCAUCGCUCAACGGAUAAAAGCUACCCUGGGGAUAACAGGCUUAUCUCCCCCAAGAGUCCACAUCGACGGGGAGGUUUGGCACCUCGAUGUCGGCUCAUCGCAUCCUGGGGCUGAAGUAGGUCCCAAGGGUUGGGCUGUUCGCCCAUUAAAGCGGUACGCGAGCUGGGUUCAGAACGUCGUGAGACAGUUCGGUCCCUAUCUGUCGUGGGCGCAGGAAAUUUGAGAGGAGCUGUCCUUAGUACGAGAGGACCGGGAUGGACGCACCGCUGGUGUACCAGUUGUUCCGCCAGGAGCAUCGCUGGGUAGCUACGUGCGGACGGGAUAAGCGCUGAAAGCAUCUAAGCGUGAAGCCCCCCUCAAGAUGAGAUUUCCCAAUUAGUAAGACCCCUUGAAGACGACGAGGUAGAUAGGUUGGGGGUGGAAGUGCAGCAAUGCAUGGAGCUGACCAAUACUAAUCGGUCGAGGGCUUAUCCAA
rnacentral:rRNA from 1 species